ACGCAGAUCUUCUCCAGACCUUGGGACGCGCAUCAUGGGCCCCGGGACCCUCCUCCUCCUGCUGCUCUCGGGGGCCCUGGGCCUGACGGGGACCCGGGCGGGCUCCCACUCCCUGAGGUAUUUCGAGACCACCUGGUCCCGGCCCGGCCGCGGGGAUCCCCGGUUCAUCGCCGUCGGCUACGUGGACGGCACGGAGUUCCUGCGGUUUGACAGCGACUCUGCGAGUCCGAGGAUGGAGCCGCGGGCGGCGUGGAUGGAGGGGCCGUGGGUGGAGCAGACGUGGCCGGGGUACUGGGAGCGGAAUUCCAGCCUCUGUCCCGCGGGGACUUGGACCCGGUUCCAUUUUCGGUUCCGGCGCCAUCACUGCGGGGCGGGGUCAGGGUCUCACACCAUCCAGGCGAUAUGUGGCUGCGACGUGGGGCCGGACGGGCGCCUCCUCCGCGGUUACAGGCAGCAUGCUUACGACGGCGCUGAGUACAUCGCCCUGAACGAGGACAUGCGCUCCUGGACCGCGGCCGACACGGCGGCUCAGAUCACCCGGCGCAAGUGGGAGGUGGCCCAUGUGGCGGAGAGCCUGAGGGGCUACUUUGAGGGCAGGUGCCUGGAGUCGCUCCGCAAAUACCUGGAGAAGGGGAAGGAGACGCUGCUGCGCGCAGACCCUCCAAAGACACACGUGACUCACCAGCCCACCUCUGACCGUAACGUCACCCUGAGGUGCUGGGCGCUGGGCUUCUACCCUGCGGAGAUCACCCUGACCUGGCAGCGUGAUGGGGAAGACCUAACCCAGGACACGGAGCUCGUGGAGACCAGGCCUGCGGGGGACGGGACCUUCCAGAAGUGGGCAGCUGUGGCGGUGCCUCCUGGAGAGGAGCAGAGAUACACGUGCCAUGUGCAGCACAAGGGGCUGCCCGAGCCCCUGACUCUGAGAUGGGAGCCGCCUCCUCAGGCCGCCAUCCCUGUGGGCAUCAUUGCUGUGCUGGCCCUUGGAGCUGCGGUCACUGGGGCUGUGGUGGCUGGAGCUGUUCUGUGGAGGAGGAAGCGCUGAGGUGGAAAAGGAGGGAGCUACGCUCAGGCUGCAGGCAGUGACAGUGCUCAGGGCUCUGCUGUGUGUCUCACGGCUUCUAAAGUGUGAGACAGCUGCCUUGUGGGGGACUGAGUGAUGCAAGGUUUGUUCAUGCCCCCACUUUGUGACUUCAGGAACCUCUGAUCUCUCUUUCUGCAAAGGGCAUCUGAAUGUGUCUGCGUUUCUCUCAGCAUCAUGUGAGGAGAGGGGAGACUGCCCGCCCCCUGCCCUCCUCGCCCC